AUUCGCGGCCUGGUCACACUAAGCUAGGGCUACUUUUUAUAUCAUAAGUCGAGCGUUUAGUUCCCAUCGAGCUGUCUCCAACUAGCUGCAAGUAGCUCGGAUGGCCAUCGAAAGGGUAAAUUGGUGUUACAUAUAGCUUUAGAGAUCGUUUCGAAUCACAUUGAUAAUCGUUCGAAACGUUCUCCGAAGCAAAAUCAAGCAAGAGUAACGAUUUCCGCAUAGUCGAAAAUGUUUAAGUUGAAUUGUCUUACGGACAGUGAGAUGAGUACGACUAUUUGGAAAUCACAAACGAAUUGUUUUCAUGGUUGACGCGCUUGUCAAGCUACAAAACAAAAUGAAUGAUAUACAAUAUACAAUAUACAAUAUGCAAUACAAUACAAUACAAGACAAAAAAAUGUGUCUUGGAACGCAACAUUGUACAAGUCGCAAUGCAAACUGAAGUCUUAAAAGACGUGUAAAAUGUUGCAAAUUAAGCAAAUAUAUAUGCAUAUAUGGGUAACGUUUUACGCGCCUUAACCAGUC
rnacentral:lncRNA from 1 species